UACGAAGGGGGCUAGCGUUGCUCGGAAUCACUGGGCGUAAAGCGCACGUAGGCGGCUUACUAAGUCAGGGGUGAAAUCCUGGAGCUCAACUCCAGAACUGCCUUUGAUACUGGUGAGCUUGAGUCCGGAAGAGGUGAGUGGAACUGCGAGUGUAGAGGUGAAAUUCGUAGAUAUUCGCAAGAACACCAGUGGCGAAGGCGGCUCACUGGUCCGGUACUGACGCUGAGGUGCGGAAAGCGUGGGGAGCAA
rnacentral:rRNA from 1 species